GCCGGGCGCGGUGGCGCGCGCCUGUAAUCCCAGCUACUCGGGAGGCUGAGGCUGGAGGAUCGCUUGAGCUCAGGAGUUCUGGGCUGCAGUGCGCUAUGCCGAUCGGGUGUCCGCACUAAGUUCGGCAUCAAUGUGGUGACCUCCCGGGAGCGGGGGACCACCAGGUUGCCUAAGGAGGGGUGAACCGGCCCAGGUCGGAAACGGAGCAGGUCAAAAACUCCCGUGCUGAUCAGUAGUGGGAUCGCGCCUGUGAAUAGCCACUGUACUCCAGCCUGGGCAACAUAGCGAGACCCUGUCUCUUAAUAAAAAAAAAGAAAAAAA
rnacentral:SRP_RNA from 1 species